rnacentral:rRNA from 1 species
UACGUAGGGCGCAAGCGUUGUUCGGAGUUACUGGGCGUAAAGCGUGCGCAGGCGGUUUUGUAAGCCAGAUGUGAAAUCCCCCGGGCUUAACCUGGGAAUGGCAUUUGGGACUGCAAGGCUUGAGUUUGGCAGAGGAGACUGGAAUUCCUGGUGUAGCAGUGAAAUGCGUAGAAUAUCAGGAGGAAUACCGAUGGCGAAGGCAGGUCUCUGGGCUAGAACUGACGCUCAUGCACGAAAGCGUGGGGAGCAAACAGG